rnacentral:rRNA from 1 species
CGAACGGGUGAGUAACGCGUGAGGAACCUGCCUCAAAGAGGGGGACAACAGUUGGAAACGACUGCUAAUACCGCAUAAGCCCACGGGUCGGCAUCGACCAGAGGGAAAAGGAGCAAUCCGCUUUGAGAUGGCCUCGCGUCCGACUAGCUAGUUGGUGAGGUAAUGGCCCACCAAGGCAACGAUCGGUAGCCGGACUGAGAGGUUGAACGGCCACAUUGGGACUGAGACACGGCCCAG